UACGUAGGGUGCAAGCGUUGUCCGGAAUUAUUGGGCGUAAAGAGCUCGUAGGCGGUUUGUCGCGUCUGCUGUGAAAACUCAGGGCUUAACCCUGAGCCUGCAGUGGGUACGGGCAGACUAGAGUGUGGUAGGGGAGACUGGAAUUCCUGGUGUAGCGGUGAAAUGCGCAGAUAUCAGGAGGAACACCGAUGGCGAAGGCAGGUCUCUGGGCCACUACUGACGCUGAGAAGCGAAAGCAUGGGGAGCGAACAGG
rnacentral:rRNA from 1 species